GGUGGGGAACAACUCCUACUAACCCUUUGAGAUGCUGAGUUUUCUUUUAAAGUAAAGGAAAUAUUACAAGAUUUUCUGAAACUGCCAACCUUUAGCAAUAUUUUCAGACAUUCUCCAACAUUUUCCUUUGUCGGCAAUCAGAGAUGACCUUUGUCAGCAAUCAGAGAUGACCUCCACACUGAGGCGAAUGUUCCACUCCCCUUACCCUUUUCCUUUUGUCUCUCUUUCCCUCCUCUCUUCAUCCAGUAACUCCAGUUAGCCUCCAUUGUCUCCAAGCCGGCUUUUGUCCUCAUCCACAACGCCUCCACACAAGCUCUGAACACCUGUCCAUUGCUAACUUGAGACUGCCAUGCUGUUAGGAAGUUCAAGUUCACCACAUGGAGAUGAAAUAAGAUAUCAUGAUAAACAUCCCCAGCUGAUCCCAGCCUCCAGUGAUCCAUCAACUACAUAUAUGAUCCUAAGUCACAUGUGUGACCCCGAGCAAGAUCAGCAGAACAAUCACUCAGCCAACCCACAGAACCCUGAAAAAAUAUAAAUCAUUAUAGUUUAAACCACAAGUUUUGGGUAGCUUGUUAUGCUGCUAUUGAUAAUUAAAACAAACUGGAAUAUUUUCAUCUAGA
rnacentral:lncRNA from 1 species